rnacentral:rRNA from 1 species
UACGGAGGGAGCUAGCGUUGUUCGGAAUUACUGGGCGUAAAGCGCACGUAGGCGGCGAUUCAAGUCAGAGGUGAAAGCCCCGGGGCUCAACUCCGGAACUGCCUUUGAAACUAGAUUGCUAGAAUCUUGGAGAGGCGAGUGGAAUUCCGAGUGUAGAGGUGAAAUUCGUAGAUAUUCGGAAGAACACCAGUGGCGAAGGGCGACUCGCUGGACAAGUAUUGAACGCUGAGGUGCGAAAAGCGUGGGGGAGCAAACAGGG